UCUAAUAUGGCAGAAAAAUGCAUUGGACUUAAACCCCAUAAAUAAAGUUUUUAAUACUUUUUUUAGAA
rnacentral:tRNA from 1 species